AUGCAAAGUGAUAAUGGUUGUGUCGUAUAUUAUGGCUAUAAAGCAAAGCAGGCCUGCUUCGUGCACUCUGAUGUAAGGAGGAGAAGAAGAAAGGAAGGGCCAUGGUCGUCCAGAAAGCCGGAAUCCGGAUGCCCGGACCUAUCUCCUGUGUUUAUGUGUUUUUGCUUCAUGAUUAAGCAUCCGGGCAGCGGCCAUAAUUCCGAUGCUUUUGGGCAAUGGAGAAUCGAUGCCAAACAUGGAAAUCUGUGGGAGGUUUUAUUCUUAUUCCAGCAAAUAAGAAAACAGACAGAUAUAUGCUUCUCUCAAAUAUAUAGGACUAUAUCCUUGUUUAUUGGUAUUAUAAGGCAUGAUGCUCUUCAAUUCUUAUCCUGUGGACUGGCUGAGCUUUGA
rnacentral:rRNA from 1 species